UAUUUCCAAACUAUUUCUGUGUGUACAGAAUUUGUUGUCUACUAUUUGAAAUAGUCUUAAUUAAAUAUUAUAUAAUAAUGAUCUGAAAAAAUAAGGAUUCUUUAUAUGGAUUUUAUGCUCUUUGACUUUUUAUUUAUUUAUUUUUAAAGCAAAUGAAGAGAAGCAGAGAUUUUUUUAAAAAUAUAUUUAUUAUAUUUUUAGGUGUAGAUGGACACAACACAAUGCCUUUAUUUUUAUGUGGUGCUGAGGAUCGAACCCGGGUCCCACUUGUGCUAGGCGAGUGCUCUACCACUGAGCACAAUCCCAGCCCUCUUUGGCUUUUUAUAAAAGGAACCUUAAGUCCUUAAAAACAAUUCCACUUGAGUGGACAUUUUUUAAAUUUGAAUUUGGGUUGAAAUGUUAAAUGUUAAACUGAUGUUGUCUAUAGUUUCUACCAGAAAUCAUUAACCUUGUUUACUUAUGAACCUUGGAAAACCAUAUAGUGGAUGAGGUCUGAAGUUUCUCUUAGGUUUUCUUUACAUUUUUAAUGUUGUUUUCUCCUGUUGCUUUGUUUUCUUUGUGACAGAGCCUGGAGGGGGGGAGUGCACCCUGAAAGUUUCACAGUGGAAAUGUAGUUAUCCCUUGUAUAUUGCACAAUUAACAAGGAAACCUUAACUUUGCUUUGUCUAGUGCACCCAAAGAACUAAUUUUUGUUUCAGUGAUUAUACGUGUGUAAUUUCCUACAUAAGUAUAACCUUCAGUGUUCAUUUCCAAUUCAGAUACUAAAGUGGAUGGACCUAAGUUUAUUUUUUUAAAAUGCAGUGCAAAUAGCAUCAAUACAUUCUCAUAAAAUGAUUUUCAUUAUUUUGUUUUAUUCAUAAAUAUUUAAUACAUGUCCCAAGUGCUUAAGAGUAUCAGAAACUAAUAAUAAGACAUGACAUCUGCUCAUAAUUUUGCUCAAGGUCCAGUUGGAGACAAAAGAUCCCCACAUGGAAAUUAAAUCUCUCAUAUUGAGCAAUAUGGGAUUUAACGUAAUGGGGAGUCCAGCGUAGCCACUAUGGUAAGCCAAGUGCUAGGUCAAGUGGAUCUGCCUUCUAGAAGUUCUCGAUGGACUUUAAAAUUCUUUCUUUUUAAAUUUGAGCAAAGCUGGUAGCAGAAGACAUCUAAGAAUAGAAUAGUCUUUAGCUACUGUGGUUCAGCUGAGAAGGUGAUGGAAAGAUGGAGCAAACAACAUGGCCAUUAUUACAUUCACUACCCCCACUGGAAGCAGAGACUGCACUUUUGAGUAGAUUAUAUAGACAACAUAAGAUACAUUUUAGGUUCUUGAGGGAAAAAUUUCAUAGUCUGGAGAAGCCUCAUCAAUGAGGGCACUGUGGACAAAGGGAGUUCCCUGAAAAAUGGAACAAACACUGGAAGAGGAGAAAAGAAUUGGAGGUGGAGACUUAACAGUUACUGAAGUCACUUUCUUCCUCGGUUUUGCCUAGAGCAACCCUGCCUGCAAGAUGGAUAUACUCUGGGCCUAAUACAACAACUUUAGGAAGUCUGUAUAUAUUACUGCUAUAUGUAGAUAUACUCUUUCUAAAUUGUUUUACUUUGGAAUUAGCCGAAAUUCUUACUGUGG
rnacentral:lncRNA from 1 species